rnacentral:rRNA from 1 species
GACGAACGCUGGCGGCGUGCCUAAUACAUGCAAGUUGAGCGCUGAAGGUUGGUACUUGUACCAACUGGAUGAGCAGCGAACGGGUGAGUAACGCGUGGGGAAUCUGCCUUUGAGCGGGGGACAACAUUUGGAAACGAAUGCUAAUACCGCAUAAAAACUUUAAACACAAGUUUUAAGUUUGAAAGAUGCAAUUGCAUCACUCAAAGAUGAUCCCGCGUUGUAUUAGCUAGUUGGUGAGGUAAAGGCUCACCAAGGCGAUGAUACAUAGCCGACCUGAGAGGGUGAUCGGCCACCUUGGGACGGAGACACGGCCCAAACUCCUACGGGAGGCAGCAGUAGGGAAUCGUCGGCAAUGGACGAAAGUCUGACCGAGCAACGCCGAGUGAGUGAAGAAGGUUGUCGGAUCGUAAAACUCGGUUGGUAGAGAAGAACGUUGGUGAGAGUGGAAAGCUCAUCAAGUGACGGUAACUACCCAGAAAGGGACGGCUAACUACGUG